CCAAGCUAGAAAGGGCAUAUGACGGAUGCCUUGGCGCAAGCAAGCGACGAAGGGCGUGAUAAGCUGCGAUAAGCCUCGGGGAGCCGCAAAUAGGCUGUGAUCCGGGGGUACCCGAAUGGGGCAACCCAACUAGGUUAACCCUAGUUCUCUAUCUCUGAAUCUGCGGGGGGUGGAGGUGCCUUACCUCGUGUAAGGUAAUCCGACCAUUCUCUAAGGAGAAGUAGGAGAUAGCAGGCGAACCAGGGGAAGUGAACCAUCUCAGUACCCUGAGGAAGAGAAAGAAAUUCGAUUCCCUAAGUAGCGGCGAGCGAACGGGGAACAGCCCAAACUGGAUAGAUGUAAGCCCGUGUGCGUUGUCUAUUCAGGGUUGUGGGGGUUAUCCGGACGGGGAUACGGACCUGUCGGGGAGUUAGAAAUUUUUACCUUAGCUGAACAGCCUGGAAAGGCUGGCCACAGAAGGUGAUAGCCCAGUAAGCGAAAAGGUAAAAACUCCUUGGGAUAGCUACCCAAGUACUCCGGGACACGUGGAAUCUUGGAGGAAUCAGGGAGGACCACCUCCUAAGGCUAAAUAUUAGCUUGCGACCGAUAGUGCACCAGUACCGUGAGGGAAAGGUGAAAAGAACCCCGGGAGGGGAGUGAAAUAGAACUUGAAAUCAUAUGCCUACACAGCAGUCCGAGGGCGGUGAUAGAUGGCUUGCCAUUUAUCUGCCUGAGGGCGUGCCUUUUGUUUAAUGAGCCGGCGAGUUACUUAGGGUAGCAUAAGGUUAAGCCGUAAAGAGGCCGUAGCCGUAGCGAAAGCGAGUCUUAACAGGGCGUCCAAUAGUUGCCUUAAGUAGACCCGAAACGGGGUGAUCUACCCAUGGCCAGAGUGAAGCGAAGCUAACACUUCGUGGAGGCUCGAACCUUUGUCAGUUGAAAAUGGCCUGGAUGAGCUGUGGGUAGGGGUGAAAGGCCAAUCAAACCCCGUGAUAGCUGGUUCUCCCCGAAAUAGCUUUAGGGCUAGCCUCGUAGGAUGAGUAGUGGUGGUAGGGCUCUGGAUGGGCUAGGGGGCUUAACAGCUUACCAACCCCAACUAAACCGCGAAUGCCGCUAUAUCUACUACGGGAGUCAGACUAUGGGGGAUAAGCUCCGUGGUCGAGAGGGAAACAGCCCAGACCGCCAGCUAAGGUCCCUAACUGUAAGCUAAGUGGUAAAGGAUGUAAGAUCGCAUAAACAGCCAGGAUGUUGGCUUAGAGGCAGCCAUCAUUUAAAGAAAGCGUAACAGCUCACUGGUCGAGGGAUCUUGCGCCGACAAUUUAGCGGGGCUUAAGCUUACGACCGAAGCUGCGGAAUUCAUAACUAGGCUUGAGAGGCUAGGUGAAUGAGGUGCGAGGAUUUAUCCUUAAAUCUCAAGAUCUAAGCCAUAUAUCUCAAGCCUGAUAUAGUUUGGAUUGGUAGGGGAGCAUUCCACGGUAGGUUGAAGCCGGACCGACGAGGACCGGUGGACGAAGUGGAAGAGACGAUGCCGGCAUGAGUAGCGAAAAAACGGGUGAGAAUCCCGUUCGCCGAAAGCCUAAGGUUUCCUGGGGAAGGUUCGUCCGCCCAGGGUUAGUCGGCCCCUAAGUCGAGGCCGAACGGCGUAGAUAAUGGGAAACGGGUUAAAAUUCCCGUACCACCAGUAGCGCCUUAUUUAGCGAUGGGGUAACGCAGGAGGGUAGGUGUAGCCGGGCGUUGGUUGUCCCGGUCCAAGCUGGUAGGAGGGGUGUCUAGGCAAAUCCGGACAUCUGCUAACUCCGAGAAGCGAUGGGGAGCCUGUAGAGGCGAAGGAGCUGAUCCCAUAUUGCCAAGAAAAACCUCUAGUGAGCGCCGCAAGGCGCAGGUUUUACUGGUGACCGUACCGCAAACCGACACAGGUAGGCGGGUUGAGUAUACUAAGGCGCGUGAGAGAUCCCUCACUAAGGAACUCGGCAAAUUAGCCCCGUAACUUCGGAAGAAGGGGUGCCCUUGUUGGUGUAGGCCCGUAGGUGAAAGCUUAUGCGGCCGAAGCUGAGGAGGGUCGCAGUGAAAGGGCUCGGGCGACUGUUUAAUAAAAACACAGGACUCUGCUAAGUGGUAACACAAUGUAUAGGGUCUGACGCCUGCCCGGUGCCGGAAGGUUAACAGGAGGGGUUAGUGGGAAGGAUUGGUUUUCCUGCGAAGCUCUGAAUCGAAGCCCCGGUAAACGGCGGCCGUAACUAUAACGGUCCUAAGGUAGCGAAAUUCCUUGUCGGGUAAGUUCCGACCCGUAACGAUCUGAGCGCUGUCUCGGUGGGGGGCUCAGCGAAAUUGUAGUGGCGGUGAAGAUGCCGUCUACCCGCGACAAGACGGAAAGACCCCGUGCACCUUUACUAUAGCUUGACAUGGGAUUUUGGGUCAGUAUGUGCAGGAUAGGUGGGAGGCGAUGAAGGGGGAGCGCUAGUUCCUCUGGAGCCAACCUUGAGAUACCACCCUUAUUGAGCUGAGGUCCUAACUCCGACCCAUGAAUCUGGGCGGGGGACAGUGUCUGGUGGGUAGUUUGACUGGGGCGGUCGCCUCCUAAAAUGUAACGGAGGCGCCCAAAGGUUCCCUCAGCGCGGUUGGCAAUCGCGCCCAAAGAGCGCAAAGGUAUAAGGGAGCUUGACUGCGAGACCGACAGGUCAAGCAGGUGCGAAAGCAGGGCUUAGUGAUCCGGCGGUUCUAAGUGGGAGGGCCGUCGCUCAACGGAUAAAAGGUACGCCGGGGAUAACAGGCUGAUCUUGCCCAAGAGUUCAUAUCGACGGCAAGGUUUGGCACCUCGAUGUCGGCUCAUCGCA
rnacentral:rRNA from 1 species